CAUAGAGAUGAACAGCUUCAUUAACACGGCUUUUACUUUUUUAACUAAAAUCCCGAAAGCUUUGGGAGGGAAAACGUACCUGCAGGAUGGAGAAGAGUUUCCAGCGAUAGUACACAUGAUCUUGGCUUUUGUUGUCAAAAAGGAACCUGAAAACAACAAAAGAAGCAAGCUGACCAAACAUGUCCAUGAUCAAACACACGGACAGCGGCAGCAGCACUUACCUGUAAUCAGGAUUGCUUUUCUCCUUGUUCAUGAUUACCGCUUCGAACACGGGGCCUUCACGCACCACAAACUCUAUCAUCCUGUGGAUGAGGAAUAAUAGGUUCCUGUGGGAAGAGGAGAGCGGGGUCAGAGCGGGGCUUCGCAACACCAUCCAGCGCUAACGGCUCUGACGCCUCCUCAUGCUGCACUAGUGGCCCGUGCGUGCAUUUAUUGACCGUAAUGAAUAAAAAAAAAGGCGACAGCCCCUGGGACGCGCCGCUUUGCAAAACUGCUUGGUGUACUGUCCUCUGUGCAGAGGGUGCCUCAGCGUACUUUAAAUGUUCCCGGGGCACUGUGUCCAUGGAAGGCGUAAAAUAAAUCACACAGAGUCAAUGACUUUACAGGCCAGUUUGAAUGCAAUACAAAUUAUGCUCUAAAAAUAACUGGGGAAAAAACACACUGGACACAUAAUAAAUCAGCAUCAGGGUGCUAUAGAGAAGUUAUUGUGGAUUGUGGCGUCAGGCCUGAACCGGAGCCUCAAUGUACAGUGUGUUCAUGCAGUGUCACCUGAUGUCUACCGCUGCAGUUACCCCUUCAUAACGCUCACUACUCUCACCCCCGAAGCAGCACUCGGUUUGUCUUAUAGCACCAGCAUGAAUCCACAUCGUCUGACUCGGGUUAAUAUCAGAUCUAGCUGCCUUCUAGCUGUAUCCGUCUGCAGUGUCUCAGCCUGCCCACGAGAAACCCAGAGCCCAAAGACGUUCUUACAGCCCAGUUACCAAGUCUACUGCUUUUCACAAUAACACGUAUUAAUAAGACGGGAGGAACAUGAAUCAUCGGACAUAUUUGGGCAAACCAGAAGGGGGUAAACACCAGUGUCCAUAAAGAAACUACUAACUGCAUUCACUGUAUGUGAAUCUGAGGAGAUCGGGACCUUUGACAUCUACUGUAAGAACCCUCAGUCUUACGUUGCAGAUGUCCAAAUGUCCACAGGAUUGUUUAUCAUGUCCUUUAUGUCGGAUGCAUUAACAGCCUGAAUCCUUACAGGUCCUGUAACACUGUGUUAUUACAGCUGGUCAGUCGUAGCAGGAAGAGUGUGUGUACCUUUCGGUCGGGAUAACCACUUUGACUACGGCUUCGGACAGAGUCUGUUUGUGAAGUCAAAUCAAAUAGUGAAAGUAUUAAAACGUGAGUACUUGUACAGAUGAAACACUGCAGGAUACAUACAGCAUAGAAAACGACGACAGCAUUCAGUCAGUGAAAUGAGGGGAGGGAGACACAGCUUCAGUUAACUAAUGCAAAAAUGCUAAACCAGAUGUGUUAGCCGAGCUAACCGAUCCAACAUAAACAUUCUAUACACAAGUCAAACUGUUAUGUUACUUUGAAUUCAUGCAUUUUGUUACCCUGCGAUAUGGCACUGCACGGACACGGUGAUCAAUUAGAGGAAUGAUGACAAGCAUUGUAACAUUAUUCACAACUUUUUACAUCAUGACCGACUAAUAAAUAAACUGAUCAACUCAUUCUGAUUCAGUUGCAGAACCCACUGCAGUUUUUGUAUUUCAAUUUAUAAUUGAAGCCAAAUAAUACAUUUUCAGGGUGUGCAAAGAAAAAAAGACAAUUUGCAUAAAGCGCGGAGCAUUACAUUUAAAUAUCAUACAGUAAAAUCUUCUCUGAAGUCUUAUUAAAUCUAUUUUUGUGGGGACUGUAGUGCCACACACACACACAUUAGAGGGAGGGGGCGGAGGGGGGUGGGGGGGGGGUGUAGUCAUGCCCCGGAGUACAGAGACAGCGUUACCUUGUCCAGCUCUCCUUUGGACAUGCCGAGCGGCUUGGUGAAGUCAUUGCGGAAGCGAUCCCUCGGCUGAGCGUUGAAGGGGAGGCCCGAUGGGGGCGGCGGGGUGACCCGCACCCCCGCCGGCGUGUAGAGAGGCUGGGGCGGAAUCCGUGCUGGUUUACCCCAGCCGAGCUUCAUUUCAAACCCCAUGAUCACUU
ensembl:lncRNA